GGCUCUGGCUGGCUUCAGGAGCUGCUUGCUGCCGUGGUGCAGGAAUAAUGGCUGGUGCCACGGCAGCAAGCAGCUCCUGAAGCCAGCCAGAGCCA